rnacentral:rRNA from 1 species
UACGUAGGGUGCAAGCGUUGUCCGGAAUUUAUUGGGCGUAAAGAGCUCGUAGGCGGCUUGUCACGUCGAUUGUGAAAGCCCGAGGCUUAACCUCGGGUCUGCAGUCGAUACGGGCUAGCUAGAGUGUGGUAGGGGGAGAUCGGAAUUCCUGGUGUAGCGGUGAAAUGCGCAGAUAUCAGGAGGAACACCGGUGGCGAAGGCGGAUCUCUGGGCCAUUACUGACGCUGAGGAGCGAAAGCGUGGGGAGCGAACAGG